rnacentral:lncRNA from 1 species
CUCGAAUCCGGCUCAGAGCGUGGCGCGUCUCUACUGCUGAGGUAGAACCCAGAAGGGAUUCAUUGAGACAGUAAAUCAGGAGAAAAGGACUGUAAGGAGAUGGGUCCUGAUUGCAGGAGGUCACUGGAGUGUGACCGAGAGGAUGCGUUCUUGUCCCCAGCUCUUCCCUUCUCACUCUGCCUCUGAUGACAGGAACAGCUUUUCUCCACUGGAUCUUUCUGCCAUGAUGUUCGUGACUUGGAGCAGCCAAGCACAGACUGAACCUUGUGAACUAUGGCUCACACUCAGAAUCUAUUCAUUUGCCAUGAAGAUCAUCAAGCAGCUCUCCAAGGAAGACUAUGUGUUGAGAAACAUGUCCCAUGCCGAAAGCCGGAAGGAACUCAUCAGCCAUGCGAGGAAGCCUGCUGGGCAGUGGAUUCUUCAGCUCCACACACACCUUCAGAGGAUUGCAGUUCUAGCUGAAUUAUGAUUGAAUCUCAUGAGAAACUCCAAGGCAGAGCCAUCCAGCCAAGUCACUCCCUAAUUUCUGAUGCGCAGAGCAUGAGACACGAAAGAACGUCUUCAUUCACUUCUCCAUUUCCAAGCAAUUGCAGCUUGGGGAACACAUCGCACUCAAUCCUGUGGAGAAAAAUGAAUUUCUGUACACGGAGGACAUCUAAGAGAUAAAGAAGAAAAAACAUUAAAGUUUGUAUGGAACAACAAAGGACCCACAAAAGCAUAAGCAAUCUUGAGCAAGAACAAGCUGGACAUAUGUAAUACUUCACAACAUAAUUAGAAAUUUAUAGUAAUGAAAAUAAACCCAGGUAUAUAGACCAAUACAACAGAAAUGAAUCCAUAUGAACAAUUGAUCACUGGAAAGGGUACCAAGAGUAUACAAUAAGAAAUAGUCUUUUCAAUAAAUGGUGCUGGAAAAAAUUGGAUUUCCACAUGAAAAGGAAUGAACUUGGAUACAUACCACACUAUAAAACAACUCAAAGCAAAAUAUAAUUAAGAUGAGUCUGCACAUAUCAUGGAAGAUGGGAUUCAGAGAGUAAAGAAAGAAUCUGAGAAGGGAGACAGACCCACCCACUGACAUCAGCAGUCACCUGGCU